UACGAAGGGGGCUAGCGUUGCUCGGAUUGACUGGGCGUAAAGGGCGCGUAGGCGGUUCGUACAGUCAGACGUGAAAUUCCUGGGCUCAACCUGGGGGCUGCGUUUGAUACGUGCGGACUUGAGUGCGGAAGAGGGUCGUGGAAUUCCCAGUGUAGAGGUGAAAUUCGUAGAUAUUGGGAAGAACACCGGUGGCGAAGGCGGCGACCUGGUCCGAUACUGGCGCUGAGGCGCGAAAGCGUGGGGGAGCAAACAGG
rnacentral:rRNA from 1 species